GAUGAAGAACGUAGCGAAAUGCGAUAAGUAAUGUGAAUUGCAGAAUUCAGUGAAUCAUCGAAUCUUUGAACGCACCUUGCGCUCCUUGGUAUUCCAAAGAGCAUGCCUGUUUGAGUAUCAUUAAAUUAUCAACUGUACCAAUUUGGUUGCAGAUUGGAUGUGGGAGAUUUUGCAGGCUUUUGAUUUCUCUUUGAGAAAACGGUCAGCUCUCCUGAAAUAUAUUAGCAGUGCCUUUGUUGGUUCAUUAGGUGUGAUAAGUUAUCUACAUCUUCACAUGGUACCUUCAUUUGGGUAAAGGUCAUAUUGCUUCUAAUUGUCUUUGGACAUAAAAAAAAAAAAACAUAUAAUUGUAUGGAAAACUUGAUCUCAAAUCAGGCAGGACUACCCGCUGAACUUAAGCAUAUCAAUAAGCGGAGGA
rnacentral:misc_RNA from 1 species